GAUGGCGACCGGCGCACGGGUGAGUAACACGUAUCCAACCUCCCGCUUACUCAGGAAUAGCCUUUCGAAAGAAAGAUUAAUGCCUGAUGGUAUCUUAAGCACACAUGUAAUUAAGAUUAAAGAUUUAUCGGUAAGCGAUGGGGAUGCGUUCCAUUAGGUAGUAGGCGGGGUAACGGCCCACCUAGCCKACGAUGGAUAGGGGUUCUGAGAGGAAGGUCCCCCACAUUGGAACUGAGACACGGUCCAAACUCCUACGGGAGGCAGCAGUGAGGAAUAUUGGUCAAUGGGCGCGAGCCUGAACCAGCCAAGUAGCGUGAAGGAUGAAGGUCCUAUGGAUUGUAAACUUCUUUUAUACGGGAAUAAAGUGGUCCACGUGUGGGCYUUUGCAUGUACCGUAUGAAUAAGCAUCGGCUAACUCCGUGCCAGCAGCCGCGGUAAUACGGAGGAUGCGAGCGUUAUCCGGAUUUAUUGGGUUUAAAGGGAGCGCAGACGGGGGAUUAAGUCAGUUGUGAAAGUUUGCGGCUCAACCGUAAAAUUGCAGUUGAUACUGGUUCCCUUGAGUGCAGUUGAGGCAGGCGGAAUUCGUGGUGUAGCGGUGAAAUGCAUAGAUAUCACGAAGAACUCCGAUU
rnacentral:rRNA from 1 species